rnacentral:rRNA from 1 species
GAUGAACGCUGGCGGCGUGCCUAAUACAUGCAAGUCGAACGAAGGUCUAGCUUGCUAGACCUUAGUGGCGAACGGGUGAGUAAUACAUAAAUAAUCUGCCCAUAUGACUGGGAUAACUAUUGGAAACGAUAGCUAAUACCGGAUAGGUUAAUUGGAGGCAUCUCUGAUUAAUUAAAGUAGGAUUUCUACACAGAUGGAUGAGUUUAUGGCGCAUUAGUUAGUUGGUGGGGUAACGGCCUACCGAGACGAUGAUGCGUAGCCGACCUGAGAGGGUGACCGGCCACACUGGGACUGAGACACGGCCCAGACUCCUACGGGAGGCAGCAGUAGGGAGUUUUCGGCAAUGGGCGAAAGCCUGACCGAGCAACGCCGCGUGAGUGAUUAAGGCCUUCGGGUUGUAAAGCUCUGUUGUAAGGGAAGAACAUUCAGGAUAGGAAAUGAUCUUGAACUGACGGUACCUUACCAGAAAGCCACGGCUAACUACGUGCCAGCCGCCGCCGUAAAAC